GGUUAAGCGACUAAGCGUACACGGUGGAUGCCCUGGCAGUCAGAGGCGAUGAAGGGCGUGCUAAUCUGCGAUAAGCGCCGGUAAGGUGAUAUGAACCGUUAUAACCGGCGAUACCCGAAUGGGGAAACCCAGUGU
rnacentral:rRNA from 1 species